rnacentral:rRNA from 1 species
GACGUAGGGCGCGAGCGUUGUCCGGAUUUAUUGGGCGUAAAGAGCUCGUAGGCGGCUUGUCGCGUCGACUGUGAAAACUUGGGGCUCAACUCCAAGCUUGCAGCCGAUACGGGCAAGCUAGAAUUCGGUAGGGGAGACUGGAAUUCCUGGUGUAGCGGUGAAAUGCGCAGAUAUCAGGAGGAACACCGGUGGCGAAGGCGGGUCUCUGGGCCGAAAUUGACGCUGAGGAGCGAAAGCGUGGGGAGCAAACAGG